rnacentral:lncRNA from 1 species
GGCCGGCCCCGGGCUCUCGGCCGCCGCGGGAGGGCGUGGGGCGGGGCGGCGGCCGCCGGACUCUCCCCUCGCCUCGCCGGGCCGGGCCGGGGCCGCGCUCGGGCGCCCGCGAUCACCAAGUGACAGAAGUGCCUCGCUCCGCUGCCGCGCCGAGCUGUUUCCCGGGGGCGGAUUUCUCGCUUCUUCCUCCCUGGAUCCACCUCCUCCCACUCCACCUCCUUCCCCUCCCCUCCCCAGGGGAGGCUCCGGGGCUGAAUAUUUUCUGUCUUGAAUAAUAUGGUCCCGGGAACCAACGCUGGAGAAGGGGGAUUAGCCUGGGGCGGGGUGAGGGGUGAUCGCCAACCCCCUCCCAAUGUGUGUCGGGACCUACAAGCCCUCGCCGCCCCCAACACCUCCCCCAAAGCCAGACACACAAAACCCUCCCCGCCUUCGCCAAUCUCUCGAGCUCAGAGCGGGAGCGGCCAGGAACCCGGGCUUCUGCUGCGGAAGGCUCGGUGCUCCGCGUCAGGGCCCGGGAGGGGGACCUUCAUACAGCCAGAUACCCAGAAUUGGGGGAUCCCAGGUCCCAGACGGCGGGGGACACGUCUGGGCUAUCUGGAUGGAGCGGAGCAAAAGCACAGAACUAAGAUGUGGGAAACCUGAAUCCUAGUCUUCUCCUGGGACCUCCAACCUCCUGCUGUGGUUCUGCAGUGGCUGCUGGAUCCACUCAAAGAUAAGUCACCCACUGUGUCUUUGUAGAAAUGGAAAAUCUAGAGCGCAAAUCUAAUCAAAGAUGAAUGGGAAGAAAAUUAAAAGGAUGAAGUAAGAGUUUUAAACUGGGGAGGAAUGGGGAAGAGGAAACAAAGAAAUGAUUAUUGUAGAAGACAAUUCACCCCAGGAAACAGAAGAAAAAUAGAGACAAAUGUUCUCCACCUGGAAGGAAAUCAAAUAUAUCAAAAGUUAAAUGAAAAAAAAAGAAAGAAAGAUAAAGGCGUUCCUGCCGUGGCUCAGUGGUUAAUGGACCCAGCUAAUAUCCAUGAGGAUGCAGGUUCGAUCCCUGGCCUUGCUCAGUGGGUUAGGGAUCUGGCGUUGAUGUGAGCUGUGGUGUGGGUUUGCAGACGAGGCUCAGAUCCCGUGUUGCUGUGGCUGUGGUGUAGGCCGCAGCUAUAGCUCUGAUUUGACACCCAGCCUGGGAACCGCCAUAUACCACGGGUGCUGCCCUAAAAAGAGCAAAAAAAAAAAAAAAAAAAAUCCGCUGAGCCACAAGGGGAACUCCCAGGACCAUCUCCUUUGACUCAGAGAUGGAAGUCACUGUGGAAGCUGGCACAGACAUCGCAGCAGGCCUGAACUGCCUACUUCUGGAUUGUUACCAGAAACAGACAAAACCUUCUAUGUCACCAUAAGGACCAUCGUAUUUUAAAAAUCUUUUUGGGAGUUCCCGUCGUGGCGCAGUGGUUAACAAAUCCGACUAGGAACAAUGACGUUGCGGGUUCGGUCCCUGCCCUUGCUCAGUGGGUUAACGAUCCGGCGUUGCCAUGAGCUGUGGUGUAGGUUGAAGACACAGCUCGGAUCCCACAUUGCUGUGGCUCUGGCGUAGGCCGGUGGCUACAGCUCCGAUUCGACCCCUAGCCUGGGAACCUCCAUAUGCCGAGGGAGCGGCCCAAGAAAUAGCAACAACAACAACAACAAAAGACAAAAAGACAAAAAAAAAAAUAAAAAUAAAAAUAAAAAUCUUUUUGGUACAGGAGCUUAGCUUUUGUCUAAACUACUUGUGAACACUUUUUUGCAAUGCCAAAGAUAAAAGAACUUAGCAUGUUUCAGGAAGUAUGAAAGGAGAAUAAUUACUUGGGGGAAGUUGUUAAACUUCGAUAUUACCAAAAAAAAAAAAAAAAAGGAAUCCUAAAAGUAAAUCAAAGUGAGUCACCUAAAGUAGGGGCUGACAAACUAUGGCCCACAGAGCAAAUCCCAUCUGCUGCUUGGU